GAUGAACGCUGGCGGCGUGCUUAACACAUGCAAGUCGAACGGAAAGGCCCAAGCUUGCUUGGGUACUCGAGUGGCGAACGGGUGAGUAACACGUGGGUGAUCUGCCCUGCACUUCGGGAUAAGCCUGGGAAACUGGGUCUAAUACCGGAUAGGACCACUUCUUGGAUGUUGUGGUGGAAAGUUUUUUCGGUGUGGGAUGAGCUCGCGGCCUAUCAGCUUGUUGGUGGGGUAAUGGCCUACCAAGGCGUCGACGGGUAGCCGGCCUGAGAGGGUGUACGGCCACAGUGGGACUUAGAUACGGCCCAGACUCCCACGGGAGGCAGCAGUGGGGAAUAUUGCACAAUGGGCGCAAGCCUGAUGCAGCGACGCCGCGUGGGGGAUUACGGCCUUCGGGUUGUAAACUCCUUUCGCUAGGGACGAAGCGUUUUGUGACGGUACCUGGAGAAGAAGCACCGGCUAACUACGUG
rnacentral:rRNA from 1 species